AACGUUGAUUCAUUAUUUUUAACGUCUCUAAUUCAAAGCCGAACAUGAAAUUUUGGUUUCAUUCGGCUCCUUUAUGGAAGAUGGAUAAAAAAAAAAAAAAAACUAAAGUGGGAAUGAAAUGAAAAAAGAAUUAAGCUCAAUAUCAAUGUUAGCUUUUCUUUCUAAAUAUAUUCAAAACAAUUCGCUUUUUAGAUGAUCCUUCUAGAAGAGUGGGAUUAGAACAAUUUUUCUAGUUACUUCGUUCUCUAUUUCUAUUUGAGAAAAUCCUUAGGAAAAGCAUUUUGUUUCCACCGAGCUAAAACAAGAUGUAAAUGUCUCUAGUAAACCAAUAAGAUGUUUUCUUUUGUCCUUUCCCAGCGAUAAAAAAAAGUUAAUAUAUUCAAGAUAAUUAUGUAUUUACAAUGUAUCUUCUCAAUUCAUCAUAUUUCAUCAAAUUUGAGAUGUGAUAUGGUUCCAAAAGAUGAACUAGGCAGUUCCAAUAAGAUUUCAUUCUUGAAUAAAAAUUCCUUUUUUGAUUUAUUUCAUCUAUUCCAUGACCAGAAUAAGGGGAUAUACAGUAUAUCACGAUUGUGAAUCAGAAGAGAGAUUUCAAGAAAUGACAGAUCUAUUCUUUCUAUUAGUAAACAAGCCGAAUUUGGUGUAUCAUGACUGAAAGUUAUGAUAAAAGGUUUUAGUCUUGGAAGAGAUGCAACCUUAUGAACAAUUCAUAGAAGUGGUAUACUAUUAAGUUUCAUACAAGAUGUAAACCCCUAAUGGCAAUAAACCCCUUAAAAAAAUGUGUGUAGAAAUAAAUACUAAAGAGAUUUUAAAAGAAAUAAAUGAUUCAAUGAUCUGAUCAAAUAAAAUAAUAUUAAUAUGAUUCAAAAGAAAGUAAAAGCCUUAACUCAGACAUUAUGUGAAAGUGUGUUGAAUCAUGAAUAGAUAGUAAGUGUCUUUAUUAUGGACACUUUAUUCUGUCUCCACUUAUGAAAAGCCAAGCCAACACAAUAGGUAUUGCGAUGUGAAUAGCUUUGCUAGGAGAAAUAGAAAGAACAUGCAUUAUACGUGCAAAAUCUAAGAAAGUACCACAUGAAUAUUCUACCAUAGUAGGUAUUCAAGAAUCAGUACAUGAAAUUUUAAUGAAUUUAAAAACAAUUGUAUUGAGAAAUAAUUUGUAUGGAACUCAUAACACUUUUAUUCAUGCCAAAGGUUCUAGUUGCAUAACUGCUUAAAACAUCAUCUUACCCCUUUUGUGAAAAUUAUUGAUAAUACACAACAUAUAAUUAACCUAAUCGAACUAAUUAAUUUUAAAUUAAAUAUAAAAAUUAAUUAAUAAAAUAGUGAAAAUUUUCACUAUUUUUUAGCAAUGAAAAUGAUUUUUUUCCUUAACUGCAAACCCUUUUGAAAAUUCUUUUGAUGUAUGGGUAUAAAUUACUAACUUAUGCUCAACCUUUUUCAAACUAAUAAUACAAAUAUAACUUUUGAAGACAAAUGACCAGUCAUAACUAAUUAGCCUAAAAUCUCUUAUUCCCACUCCAAUUACACCUUAAUUGGCAUUAGUAAAUGCCUAAUAUCACUCUUACAUUUAUAAAUAAGGUUAAUUUGUUUUUUUAAUUUUUAUAUAACUUUUUAAUUGAAUUGGUAUUAUUUUACUCAUAAAUUCAAAUUUACUCAUAAGCAUCAAACUCAAUUAAAAUUUUAAUAUAAUAAAUUUUAAUAAUUCAUAUAUAUAUAUUUUGUUUGUCAACUAUUAAACACCAACUUUAUAACAAUUUACUAAAACUUUAUUAAAAAAAAAAUACAUUUUUUGGUAAUCUCUUAAUCAAACAAGUCCAUAAUCAAACAUUAACAAAAGGACAAGAAAACAAGUCCAUAGUGAAAAGUUUUCUAUUUUAAGUCAUAAUGAAAAGCUGAAGACAGGACAAUACCAACAUCAAACUUGUUAUCAGAAAAAGGAAAGGAAAUUAGAGAAAAGUCAUUGUAGUAUUUAACUAUAAGGGGAUGUUUGGUUCACAUAAUCUUGGAUUUUGGAGAAAAGUGUGAUACUCGAAAAAGUGCAAUACCUAGAGUUUUCUUCCAUUUUCAGGGCAUCUUAUGUUCAGAUUCACUUGUUUUGUUGAAAAAAUUCACAUAUAUUAAUUCUUGAAUAAUUACCAUAAUCUUGUUAACAUAUAUGAUGGUAAUUUUUUAUUAGUUUUUAUUAAUAAUAAAUACCCAAAUGAUAAAUGAUACCUUUAACAGCAAAAAAAGAUAAAUAUUUUAUUUGAUUGCUAUUUUUAUUUAUAAAAUAUCAUUAAAAAAAAUAUUAGGGAUUAUUUAUAACGUUUCUAAUUGAAAAACGCCUUAAAUAAUCCAUUUUAUUACUUUAAAAGAGAUUAUUUAAGACAUUCUUUGUUCAAAAGUGCCUUAAAUAAAUGCUUUUUAAAAAAUAUGAAGGGAUUAUUUAAGGCGUUUUUGUCCAAAUAAUCUCUAAUAUUUUUUUAAAGGGGAUUAUUUAAAGUAUUUUUUGGUAAAAAAUGCUUUAAAUAAUACUUUUCAAUUUUUUAAAAGAUAUUAUUUAAGGCAUUUUUUUACCAAAAACGUCUUAAAUAAAAUCUUCACUUUUUUUAACUAUAUUAUUUAAGGUGUUUUUUUACUAAAAACACUUUAAAUAAUCCCUUUAAUUACUUAUAAGAUUUAAGAGAUAAAAUUUAAAAAAACUAGAGUAGCUCAGUUGGUUAGUGUAUAUGGUUAUUAACUAUACGGUUGUAGGUCCAACCCUUCCUUUUAGCACUUUAAUAUUUUUUUAGGAAGAUUAUUUAAUAAGUUUUUAGUCAAAAAUACCUUAAAUAAUACCUUUCAAUUUUUAUACUAUUUAUUUAAGACGUUUUUUUAUUAAAAAUACCAUAAAUAAUCUCUUUCAUUAUUUAUAAGAUUUAAAAGGUAAAAUAUAAAAAAAAUAGAGUAGUUCAAUUGGUUAAAACAUAUGAUUAUUAACUAUUAUAUUGUAAAUUUGACUUUUCUUUUAACGUUUAUUUUUUAGGAUUACUUUUUUUAUUAUUAUUUAAGAUGUUUUCUAAUCAAAAAUACCUUAAAUAAUUGUUUAAUUUUUUUUAAGAUUAUUUAAAAUAUUUUUCGUAUCAAAUGUCAUUAAUCGCAAUAUAAAAAAAAUUUAACAGCAAAAAUUUAUAAUUAAUUUAUAAUCACUUCCAUACAUACUUUUAAAAAUAGUAAAUUUAUUUUAUAAUUUUUUAUUCACAUCAAAUCUAAAAAUAACAUAAUUUUUUUUCAAAAUCUUAAAAUAUGAUAAAAAAAUUAUGAUUUUUGAUUUUAAAAAUUUAAAUAUUAUUAAAAAUUUAUCACUUUUUUUUAAAUCAAAUUAUCUUAAACUAAAUAUUAAAAUCAAAUAUUCAAUAAUAAAAUUUUAAGAAAAAAAAAGGUAUAAAUUUCUUCGUAACAAACCCCUUAAAAGAAUCCUACAACAUUUAACGUACUUUAGUUACUUUCCUCGGAAAAGGUAAAAGCCAACCUAACUCUUGGAAACUAGGAAGUCGAUUCCAGAACAAGAAGAUAAGGACGUUUUUUACGAACGAAAACUCAAUUAUUGAGUACUAAAAUGGUGUCUGUCAGGAUUUUGGAACAAAUAAAAUUCUUCGUUUUCUUUUUAUGGUGAAACGUGGUAAAAUUUAAUCUCAGUGAAAAAAAGAAAAAGAGGGAUUCAGGAAGCAGAGCAGAGGUGGGUCCAAGACAUGGAUGGUGAAUCGAGUGCGGGUGUAAAGACGGCGUUGCUUGUGAAGAGUGAGAGCGGAAAACGUGGACGGUUCAAUAGGCGUAACUCGUUGAACUCGCUGAGGAAUGAGUUUGUGUCGAGGUUGCCUGAUAAGGUUCGCCCUGGUCUGGAUGCUGAGUCCCCUUUCCACAUUGAUGUCUCCAAAAACAAAGGCUUAACUCCAGGUCUCUCUUUCAGUAUUUUAUUUUUUCUCUAUAGGAACAACUGGGAAAUGCGUUUACUUUUUCUGCUUUUCAGCUUUCAUGUUUGGCUUCUAAGAAUAUGUUUCUAGCUCUAAAUCUGUAUUGCAAUUUGUAAGAUUAUAUAUAUAUAUAUAUAUAUAUAUAUAUAUUAACACAAUUGAUAGAUAUAAAUAAAUAAAAUUUGCAAAAUUAAAAUUGUUCUUAAGUAUUUAUAGUCGAAACAUCGAACUUGACUAACCGGUUUAAAACAAAAUCACUUGUUUGAAAAUUGUUCGAUUUUCGGUCUAUAUCUUACGGAGGUACCUCACGUCAAUUCUCUUUCAAACAAAAAUUUUUUUUUCUUUUUUCUCUUGUCAUUUCUUCAUCAAAAUAUGUGUGAAAUAUGAUGGUGCUUUUAUGCUUAAUUUAAAUUAAAGGAAGAUAAAACAUUAUCUGAGAAAGAGAAACCCAUUAUAGGAGGUUCCAUGCACCAAUAUCAACAUCUCCCGCCCACACAUAACAGAUUUGAUACUUUCACAUUUAAUUUUAAGAGAACAAUAUCUCUAUUUUCGUACAAGGUUCAUACAAGAAAAUAGGUUGUGCCAUCAACAUACUUUAUAUCUCAAGAGCUCGUUGCUAUAUAAUUGCUAUAAUGAUUAAAGUAUUUAAUUAGAGUAAGUUUGUACUACCCUAUAUCUAUUUAGUCACAUUUUAAAUUUUUCAUGAUCUCAAUUGCACAAUAUAGUUUUGUAUUCACAAUUAUAUUUAAUUGUAUAAAACAUAAUUUGGUUAACCAGUGAAUACAAUUAAAUGUGACACUUAAAUGGUCUUCCCGUCUUUUAGAAUCUCUUCAUUCCAAAUUCAACUACUUUUCGGAUAUGUUACAUUUGAAUGAUUCAUAGUCAUUGAUAACAUUCCCAAAAGCUAACAUUGAAUUGACACUUUAAGAAACAGUCAAAAAGCCAGUCUCACACAACUAAGAAGUAUAGAUCAAUUUUUUUGUUACCCAUUUUGAUCGAAUAAUGCACAUGUAGUAUGAAACACAUGUUAUAGCAUUAUUCUUCUUUUCUCAUGAAGCAUAUGCGUUUAUCUCAGUUUCUAUACUGUACAAGUGAUAGUUCAUAUGCACUCAGUACCUCAUGUGAUCUACAACUCUACUUAUUGUUUACUAUAUUAACAGGACGUCCACCUGGCAUAAAGACUGAAAAAGUAAAUUGUGGGAUUAUUCACUUUUCUAUCAUAAUAUACGUGACUUCAUCUUGAUUCACUGUAUGAUUUCGUUUUAAGCUUAAGCUCUCUUAUAAUGCUUAAAACUAAUUUCAUGUCUAUACAGCACUAAACCUUUAGAGGUGAUUGCCUAUGUGAGAAAGUCAAUUUACUGCCUAAGGUAUAUUAUGUACUAGGCUAAGAAGCUGAAGACAUGUAAGGUGAGAGUUCGAACCCCAUUAUCCCCAUUCCCUAUUCCUUUAGAUAAAAAAGACUUAUACAUGUGUGUGCUUCAUAAAUAUAUUACUAAACUUAAUAGGCAUUAUAUACAUGAAAAAUUAUUAAAAACUCUUCAUCAAAAUGUCCAAAAUAAUUACAUCAAAAUCUACGCAAUCUUAAAGAUUUAACAUUGGCAUUGUAAACAUAUCUAGGUAUAAACUUCGUAAAUAGAUCUGCAAUCACUCUAUGCAUAGAUUUUUACUCUAAAUUCACUUUCUUUUGUGCAACUUACAUCUCUCAAGAAAUUAUAUUUGGUAUGUUUGUGUUUGGUUUUUAAAUGAUAUCCUUUUGACAGUUUUCUAACAGGGUUGUCCUAGAUUUGAUUGAUAUAUUUGCUUACCAUUCCAACUGCAAAACAAAUAUAUGGCCCUGUGCAUAUCAUAACAUAUAUAAGGCUUCGAACAACACAAGAAUAAGAAACUCUUGCUACCUGUUCCUUUCUUGUGGAGUCUUAGGUCACAUUUUUUGGCUCAAACUGUUACCUUCUGCAAUAGGCGUAUCAAUUAGCUUGCAGUGUCGCAUUUGUAAUCAUUUAAAAAUUUUCAUAAUAUGUGACUUUUGCGAAAGAGCUAACAAUUUCUUAGAACGAUCCCUUAUAGUUUUUACUCAAAGUAUAUUGACUCAACUGAGUCUUCUGCAAUUAUUUGGCUAAGUUAAUCAAGUUUUUAAAAUGCAUUGGGAACAAAAUAGAAAAAGAAAUUAACAACUUUAUGUUUUACAAAUUGAAGAUUCUAAAAUAAAUAAAAUUUUGCUUUUAUUAUAGCUUUCAAUUGUUCUUUUCUUUCAUAGGUGAAAAGGAAUACUAUAAAACACAAUUUGAGACCUUAAAAUCCUUUGAAGAAGUUAAUGCUUUGGAUGCAUCCUCUGAAAGCAAUGAUGGUGGAGAUGGUGAAGAUGAUGAAGAUGAAGACCAGGCCCAACAUGAAAGAGCCAUGCAGAUUUCUAAUUAUGCAAAUAUUGUUUUGCUGGCAUUUAAGGUACUUUUUUCUUUUUCUUUGAAGAUUUCUAAUCAGUUUCAAGAACAAACACAUCAAGUUGAAGAAUUUUGCUUAUAAAAUUUAAAAAUUUUCUGCUAUAUCAUUGUGAAUGUCACUCAUUCCUUGUGCUUCAGCUGUUAAAAUAACAAUUUGAGUAUUGUACAGCUCUAUGCUACCAUAAAGAGCGGUUCCAUAGCCAUUGCGGCAUCAACAUUAGAUUCUUUACUUGAUCUCAUGGCCGGCGGCAUACUUUGGUUCACUCACUUGUCAAUGAAAACGAUAAACAUCUAUAGGUAUCCAAUCGGAAAAUUAAGGAUGCAGCCUGUAGGCAUAAUCAUCUUUGCUGCAGUGAUGGCUACACUAGGUAUGCCCCUUGAUUGUUUCUCAGUUAGUUUUGUCAAAGUUAUCUUUGCCUUCACACCAUCCAUAAUCUCCUUAGAUUUCCCCUCUGCACUAUGAUUAUUGUUUUCCCAACUUUUGGGCGUCUUCAUCAUAUGAUCUAGCGGCAUACGUUUUGUUGCUAAGAGCACAUUCAGGCUGAAAAUCAUUUUGUAAUUUUAUCACAAAGAAGUUACAUUUUCAAACAUGAUCUCUUCAAUAUUCCGGUGCAUAAUACUUAAAUGAUAUAGACUGGAAUCUGCUUUAAUUUCCUAGGGUUGCUAGUACAUUCUCUUUUGGAACCAUGAAUAAAACUGAAAGUAUGAUGAAGGCGUCAGAAUACAUAUAUGUCACAGAGUCUAAAAUGCAUACAUGUUUGCAGGGGUCGUUACAUUCCAGUAAAAGUAAAUAAUCAAAGAGGUUCACUCUUUUAUGAUAGAACAACAUUGUGAAUCCUAUGUAUGUAGAGUGCAUCGUUUUAUAUCAAUGAAUCUUUUAUGACUUCACAUACACUUACAGGCUUUCAAGUGUUUGUCCAAGCUGUGGAGCAGCUAAUAGAAGAUGAACCUUCAGAAAAAAUGUCCUCAGGUCAAUUAGUGUGGUUGUACUCCAUCAUGUUGUCCGCUACAGUAGUAAAACUUGCCCUCUGGAUUUACUGCAAAAGCUCAUCAAACAGGAUUGUUCGUGCUUAUGCGAAGGUUUCUACUCCAAUUUUGUUGAGGAUUUCUUUAUUGUCACUUUGCUUGUGAUUGGCAACUAUGUAAUGCCUUCAAUUGCUGAUUCCCAGGAUCACUAUUUUGACGUGGUAACAAAUGUAGUAGGAUUACUUGCAGCUGUUCUUGGUGAUAAAUAUUGUUGGUGGCUUGAUCCUGCUGGUGCUAUUGCCCUUGCAAUUUACACAAUCUCGAAUUGGUCAGGAACUGUUAUAGAAAAUGCAGGUAAGCUUUUUAUAACAGGAAUUCUCCUAUAUGAUCAUUGGAGUUGAGAUUUUGAGAAAGCAGAAAAAAAAUGAAGGGUGGCAAACUAUUUCUUACCUGUAGCAAAAAUUCUUCUGAAGGUUCCAACCUAAAAUUUUUUGUUCUGGCCAUUAUUGAACUAUUCUGGCUUUAAUGUUUGAUAUGUUCUGAUAAUUUAAGCAGUAACAUACUCCAGAAAAGAGGUUGAAUUUGGUAGAAAACUUUUCCAUGCCCAUGAACCAGAAAUAUGACCUGUCAGUGAAUGAGAGGGAUGGAUAAGUAAACCACCAAAUAUGCUCUCACUUCCCAGUUAUUAAUUGAGUCAUUACGUUUGAAACUAAGUUUCUCAAUCUAGUGAUUAGAGCUUACAACUGAAAUAAAUUAUAUGCCUAUUGCGGGGAUGCAUUUAUGGGCAUGGGGUGAAGAAUGAUGAGUUAUCAAGUUUUAAAAAUUUAAUUGAAAUUAUCCUGUUAUUGCUCUAUCAUGUUACAUUAAGGUUUUAAGUAUAAUGUAAAUCAGACUUGCCCACCUCUAACCAUUAAUGCUU
rnacentral:lncRNA from 1 species